UUAUUCACCCGCUUCGGCUGUUAUCAGUCCAUACAAUGGGCGUUAUUAGCAGAAAUCAGUCCCAUAGAUAUGGGCCAUCCACCUGCUAGAUUGUUCAGAAGGUUGUUAUCAUCCAUCCAGAUGGAGGAUCACUAACUGGAGCGUGGGAAGACUCCAGAAUCCACUCUGGCUGGAAUCCGGUGGAUACAGCAGUGUUACAGAACAGUUCUCCACAGUCACUGUCCACAUGGGUCAGUGGGACCAAGAAGCACUCUGCUAAUGUGUGGACUCUGACCAGCAACAUCCAGCAAGACCCAGGCAGCGUUUUCUAUCUCCCAGCUGGAGUUUUUUUGUUUGUCUGUGACUGGAGAGUCAGAUUUUUGUUGAGGCUGGAGGAACAGCCUCACACUUGCAGAGGUUAAUACAUGCUACUGAUCCCUGAUGGGAGAAUCAUCACCUCUGCCAACAAAGAAGCCUGGUGGAUAUUUGUUUACAGACUGAUGAUGGGACAUCAUGCUCUGCAUCUUCAAAUCUUUUUGCAGGAUCAGAAAACAAAACCAGGAGACCUGUAAAUGUUUCUUCUCCAAUUGGAUGAUGAUAAGACUGUGACACGGGAUGCCACCUUUAGUCUUGUGAUGAAGCAAAGUUCAGGAAGAAGUGUGAUUAAAUUGUACCCACAUGUGUGCUGCUGAGAAGGAUAUACAGGGGCACCUGCAGCCAAAUCCAAGCCUCCUCAGAUGGUGACGGUGGUGUUUCCUCAGAAGAACUAGCAGAGUCACAAAGGACACGAGUCCAUCUCACCACCUUGACUUGCUGACUGAUGCUCGUCUGCACUGCACAGAGGAAAUCAACUGACCGAGGUAAAUCUCCAGUUUCUGGGUGAGGGAGAGAGGAGUCAUCAUCCAGGUAAAGUGACGUGGAUCAGUGGAUACACUUGUCUCCCCUUUAAAGGAGACACUCUUAGAGAGAGACGAUCCGAGUCAUCAUAAAAUAUGGGCAGGAUAUCAGUCUUGGACUGUCUAACCUGCCGGAGCAGCACUGAAUGACCACCACACAUGAGCAUGUUCCUGCAACAUUCAGCAGCUUUGCUUUUGUGUCAAAUGUCGAACAGCUGGAGAGGAAACUACACCAGUGUACUGGGAUGUUUCAGCAACACGUGCCAGAUGCUGUUCCUUCAUGGUUUCAUCACCAGAGACAGCCCCGCCCACCUCAUGACCUCGCCAUUGAUCAUGAUGAUUAUAAUAAUGACAGCGAGCGGAACUAAGACUGUAAAAAUCCACGACCAGAAUGUUUAGAUGCUUUCUAAUUAUUAAUGAAUACUUAGAGCCUCUUUCUGUCUUUUGUCUGUUUUGGGUU